UUUAAUAAUUUAAUUAGAACUGUUUUAACACCAAUUAUAAUCAAACUAUCGCAAACUGUUUGACUUGAAAAAAUACAAAACGUUUUUUUUUUAAAGAGCAGUCUGAGAACCAAAAGAGACGKCUCUUUUUGGUGAGCUGAGCCGAAAGAGUCGGAAUGCCCAUCACUACUAUCUGUCCGGUAGGAGUAAUGUAUUUGACAGUAACGUUAUACCUGUUUCAAACAAGCAAACUUCUAUACUUUUUCAUAUGUUAUAGCUAAUUUUCCCCCAACAUCGGACACUCUCUAGCGGUUGGAGGACUAAAUCACCUCGAGCUCAACAUUUAAAUGAACGAUACCCUUCUAGCUAACUGAAGACACCCUUGUAGCUAACUGACCACCGAUUUUUAUUGCAAUUUAUAUAUCAUCAAAUAAAAAACCAUGGAGAAAGUCAAGAGGAAACAGUGGAGUGAGGUGGACAUGUUCCAUGCAGUGGAGGACUGCGGGGCAGGGAUGGCUAUCCGSCWGGCUGCCAAUGUUAGGCAUCUUUUGUUUUUAGGAGAUUACCACGUGUAUGCACAUUUCAUCUGCUAGUAACAGUUUUAUUCUCUUAUCUACCAAGGUGCAUGGUGUACCUCGGUAGACCCGGGCGGACAGGCUGAGCGGCCGGUUGACCCAUGGUUGUCGCAGUGGACCACCCACAUCGCUUGCACCAGAGGAUGAAAAUUGGUGUAGUACUGUAUCUACCAAAAAACAAAACAAACAUUUUCAUUCUGGUUGGAUAAUUUUCUAUUCAAAUUUUUGUGACAAGAUAGGGAUGGAGAUCGAGAUUUAAUUGUUUUGUUUGUUUUCAUAUAAAAUUAUUUAUGCGCUCCAGCAGGUAUAUCUCUCUGGUCACCC